rnacentral:rRNA from 1 species
GACGAACGCUGGCGGCGUGCUUAACACAUGCAAGUCGAACGGAAAGGCCCUGCUUUUGUGGGGUGCUCGAGUGGCGAACGGAUGAGUAACGCGUGAGUAACCUGCCCUGCACUCUGGGAUAACUUCAGGAAACUGGGGCUAAUACCGGAUAGGAGCUCCUGCUGCAUGGUGGGGGUGGGAAAGUUUCGGCGGUUGGGGAUGGACUCGCGGCGUAUCAGCUUGUUGGUGGGGUAGUGGCUUACCAAGGCUUUGACGGGUAGCCGGCCUGAGAGGGUGACCGGCCACAUUGGGACUGAGAUACGGCCCAGACGCCUACGGGAGGCAGCAGUGGGGAAUAUUGCACAAUGGGCGGAAGCCUGAUGCAGCAACGCCGCGUGCGGGAUGACGGCCUUCGGGUUGUAAACCGCUUUCGCCUGUGACGAAGCGUGAGUGACGGUAAUGGGUAAAGAAGCACCGGCUAACUACGUG